GACGAACCGUGCGACCGUUAUUCGGAAUUACUGGGGGUAAAGGGCACGUGGGCGGAUACUUAGGUCGGGGGUGAAAUCCCGGGGCUCAACCCCGGAACUGCCUUUGAUACUGGGUAUCUCGAGUCCGGAAGAGGUGAGUGGAAUUCCGAGUGUAGAGGUGAAAUUCGUAGAUAUUCGGAGGAACACCAGUGGCGAAGGCGGCUCACUGGUCCGGUACUGACGCUGAGGUGCGAAAGCGUGGGGAGCAAACAGG
rnacentral:rRNA from 1 species